rnacentral:rRNA from 1 species
AUGUGUUGCUACGUGGGCAAGGCCACCAAGAUCUUCCUCGGCCUCGUCACGGCGCUGCUGCUCGCCGGCCUCGUCCUCGGCUUCGGCCUGGCCCACCGGACGCUCUGGGGAGGCCAGAAGGCUGAGCCAGCCUGCCGGUGGCCGCGCUGCCAGCAGCAGCAGCCGCCGCCGCAGCCGCUCUACGGCGGCGACCCGCUCCCGGUCGCGGGCACCACCACCACCGCGCCGCCGUCCAACCCGCUCACGGAGCCGGCUGUCGCCGUGUUCCCCGGGGUUGCCUCCUCCACCGCGCACCCGCCGGCGACGGCAAGCGUGCCGAGCUUCGCGCCGCCUAGGCCCUACCCCGGGGUCGCUUCCUCCACAGCCGUGCCGCCCGCGGUGCCGAGCGUGCCGAACUUCGGGCCGCCCAGCCCGUUCCCCGGGGUCGCCUCCUCCGCCGCCGUGCCGCCCGCGGUGACUAGCGUGCCGAACUUGGGGCCGCCCAGACCAUUCGCCGGGGCUGCCUCCUCCACCGCCGUGCCGCCCGCGCCGCACUUGGGGCCGCCCACACCGUUCCCCAUCGGUCCCGGCCCGUCCUCUCAUCCAUGA